UACGGAGGGGGCAAGCGUUGGCCGGAAUUAUUGGGCGUAAAGAGCGUGUAGGCGGUCCGGUAAGUCAGUUGUGAAAGUCAAGGGCUCAACCCUUGAAAGCCGGUUGAUACUGUCGGGCUAGAGUCCGGAAGAGGCGAGUGGAAUUCCCGGUGUAGCGGUGAAAUGCGCAGAUAUCGGGAGGAACACCAAUGGCGAAGGCAGCUCGCUGGGACGGUACUGACGCUGAGACGCGAAAGCGUGGGGAGCAAACAGG
rnacentral:rRNA from 1 species